rnacentral:lncRNA from 1 species
AUAAACACAGUCAAACAAGCUUUCUUUGCUACUUGAUCCUUCUUUCCAUUUAAGCUCUUACUCAAGACACUUAUUUUGAAUCAUUGCAGUGAAGAAUAUAUGCAUGAAGAUUACUCACCUUCUUUCCUUGUUUUCCUUUACUUACCAUGGCUAGGAUUUGUUUUACUCAAGAGAGAGAUUAUACAUGCACAUGUUCUGUUCAGUUAAGACUCUUUCUAGCUUUCAGAGUGAUUUGCCCUUAUCUUGAAGUACUUUAUUCAGCCUUUUGCACAUUAAUCUUGCUUGAAAAAGUCACCAACCUUUUGACGUGAAGGUACAUAUUUGUGAUACCCACCCCCAGUUACUCAGUUGGUCACCUGUCCAAGUGGCUACUAGCUCUGUUCAUAGUCUUUCAACCAUUGGAACAAUUUUCAAUUUGUGCUCAUGAAGUCUAGGCCAUUGCCGAAUUUCUUAUAUCAAUGCAUUGGGCAAAUCAACACCAAUUGCUAAAACAAGUCAUAUUGAGUUCAUUCACAUAACUUUCAAUUCAUUCUCUCUAAUGAGUGUCAUCAAUAUAUUUUUCACCAUGGUAAGCUUAAAGAUUCAAUUCAAAAGGUAAUUCUCAAACAUGAAUAUAGCUCACUGCAAUUGAUUCAACAUAAGUUUAAAGAGUCAUCACAUCAAUGGGGUCAUGGAAAGAAAAGCUCAUCCAACAUAGUUCAUCAGUUUGAGUAGAGCAUAUAAAAAAGAAGAAGAUUGUGGUUGCGUGUGUUAUUGAAAGCAUAAAUGAAAACAAAUUGAAAGAAAACUAAGUAAAAAAAAAUCGCAUGAACUGAAAGGAAAAGAAGAAAAAUUUCGCAAAUCUGAAAGGGAAAUAAAAAUUUUUCGCAAACUAAAAGGAAUGUAAAAUCGCAAGACUGAAAGGAGAAGAAGAAGAAGAAGAAAUUAUUCAGAGAUAUGCACCCCCACACCUAAAUCAUGCAUUGUCCUCAAUGUGUAAGAAAAAUAAAAGAGCAAAGGAAACUGAGUACUCCCCUGGGUGUGGUGUGCAUGGUGCGAUCCACUUAAGCAGAAUGAGUGAGAUGGUGUAGUGGAAUUUCUUCCACUACUUGCAUUGUGAACCCUUCAUAGUAUGGUUUCAGAUAUGGUUCCUCCCAAACAUCAUGUUUUGCAUUCUUUUUUAUUUUGUCUUUUGUGUGCUUGGGCCUAUCAAAGGGAAAGUUGCUUUCUACACAUUCAGGAGGUUGCCACAUUGAGAGCUUCU